rnacentral:lncRNA from 10 species
UUGCAAUGAAGCAUCUGCCGCUCACUGUUUUUUUGUUAUUUUUUUUCCUGAUUACUCCAAUUCAAAAACAUCAUCCUACCAGCUCUUUUAGUUGUUAAAUAUCCCUGUGCUUGUGGCUACAUUUCUUUGCACUGGAGAAAUGAUCUCAUUAACAAACUAGUUCUGUGCGUCCUUAACACUGAGGCCCCUCGCCUGCAGCUGGAGGCAGCUCUCUGUUCAGCCCCAGUGCAGAGUGACACAGACAGGCGACAGCGUCGCUGAGCACCAACUUCUAUUCCACGGAGGCAGACAGCGAAAACCAUUUCAUAACCAUGGCAAGGCAUGAGAGAAGCACAGGGUAGCUGCAAAGUUUUGGAAAAGACCUCUGCAACAACUGGAAGCACAGUGUACCCAAGUGGAAAGCAGUGGCCAUGUAUGUCAUGAGGACAUUCCAGUAACCCCAUGUGGUAAGGAACCAAGUCAGCCUGCCAACAACCACUGAAAAACUGAGCCCUCCUGCUGACAGCCAUGUGAGAGGAACACCUGGGAAGUGGAUCCUCCAGGCCUGGUCAUACUUCAGAUGACUGCAGCCCAAGCCAACAUCUUGCUUGAGUGGAGCCUCAUGAGUGACUCAGUCAAAACCACACAGCUGAGAUAUUUCCAACCCACAGAUACUGAGAUAAUAAAUGUUUAUUGCUACUAGGUUUCCUUCCUUCCUUCCUUCCUUCCUUUUUCUCUUCUCUUCUCCUUCCUUCCUUCCUCCCUCCCUCUCCUCCUCCUCCGUCUUCUUCCUCUUCCUCUUCUUCCUCUUCCCCUUCCCCUUCCUCUUCCUCCUUCUUUCUUUCUUACUUUCUUUCUCUUUCUUUCUUUCUUUCUCUAUGAAAAUAUCAGGUGUACUAUAUUUUACCUGCCUUCAUGUAUAUUUGAAUAAUUCCAUAAUAAAACUUUUUAAAAUUCACUUGUAUUUUUCUUUAUUUUUCUAAGGAUUUAAUUUAAAUAAUAACUAUUAAUAAUUUAGUUAAAAUUUAUUUUCUUUAAAAAGAGUCAUGUUAAGCCCCUUCACAAUUUUUCCCCAAUAAUAUUUACAUACAUUUGAAUUUUCC